rnacentral:lncRNA from 1 species
UAAAUUCAAGGUACCCGAAACAGCAGAUUCCUCGAUCUUCAGCCAUUAUAGGCUCAUACAGACCGAGUUCGGUUUAGGGGAAUACAUUUCCCUAUGGCUGCACGGAGAUGAAAAUCUCACGAAGACAUAGGUACGGAUGUAUCCCGAAAGUGAUCCACUAUCCUGCACGGAGGUAAAAACCUCACGAAGGAGUAGUUUCUCACUCCCACUUAAAAGGGUAAGACCAAACAGUCUUUAUGCAAUAUGAUGCCAAGAUAUAAAAACACAAUUUACAAUAAUCAUACAAACAUAUGCAAAGAGAGGAUCGUAAUUUUUUUAAAAUCAAUUUUCAAUUUUCGACAAUAAGACAAAAAAACAAUCAAUUUUAUGGCUUGACUCUCUAUGUCCCCAAUGGAGUCGCCAAGCUGUCGAAACCAUUUUUUAGAUUUUAAAAAACGGGGAUCGACUUUAAAAAAAGAAAAUGGGAGUCGCCACCGAUCUUUUAUUGAGGUGUGAUCGGCUCACCUUGAAAAUUAUUUUGGUCUGCGAAAUUUGAGAAAACAUGUUUGGGAGUCGGUUACGCACGAGGAAGGGUUAGCACCCUCGUAACGCCCAAAAUUGGUACCGAAUUGAUUAAUUAAGGUCUUAAUUUCGAAUAUCGAAAAUUCAUGAAGAAUUUAAAAAAAACAUGAUCCUCCCUUUUAUUAAUGUUAAUUUUAUAAAAGAUGCUUGGAUAAAUCGAUGCGGAUGCUAAAGACCUUCUCGUCUUAGAGUAAUAAAAUGUCACACCCAAUUCAUUAGGACACGACAUUUUUAGUCCUCGAGAAUAAGCUUGUCUUUUGAUUUUCAAAACUCUUGCGGUGAAGUUAAAAAGGGAUAUUCAAUUGCUUUAAGUUAGAUGAAAAAUUAAAACCCAAUACGUUAGGGCACAAUUUCUCAAAAUUCCUAGCAUUGAAUAUAGCCCUUGUUAUUUUUUUUAAACCUUCAUUUCGAGAAAACUACAUGUCACAUACAAUACAUUAGGGCACGACGUAUCGAAUUCCCGAAAAUGAGUUUUUGGUUUAUGUGUUUUGAUUGAAUAAAAUUUUUGAUUAUUUAGAUUCAACGAGAAAAAUUGAAACCCAAUACGUUAGGGCUCCAUUCUCUCGAGGAUUCCAAAUUUCGAGUAUUGCGUUAUUUUUGAAAACUUUUGUAUGAAAUAACUUUGACAUUUGUAAUCUUUUGAAUGAAUAAAAAACGAUUGAAUAAUAAUGUACAACAGUACUAAUGAUGAUUUGUAAAUAACAUACACUAAUGAAAUACAAAUAAUCAAUAGGUAAAUACAAGCAAGCAUAGUAACAAUACUCUCAAUCAUACAUUAUGCCAAUGCUAAUAAUAUCGACAUUCAAAGAAUAAACGAAUUAUCAAUACAAAAAAAAUGAGUUAUAUGUGUAAAAUUUUAAAAUAAACAAUAUACAUAUAUGAGUUUAAUAAGUCAAAAAUGAAGAUAAAAAAAUAAAUACUAUAAAAAAAUAAUACCAAAAUGAAGUUUAAAGUGAAUAUUGUAUAUGAAGAAAACCAAAAUACAUGAAAUAAUAUAUAUAUUAAUUUAAAUAAUAUUACACAUGGAUUGGAAAAUUUCUUAUAAUAAUAUAUGUAUUAUAGUAUGUAUAAAAGGUUGAUAUAAAUCGAGUAUAUAAUGAAAUAAAAUUUUAAAUGAAACAAGUUAUAUAUGUAAUAAGUAAAAAAAUGUAAACAUGAAAUCGAUGAUACAUUAGGUGUAUACGUAUAAUAAUAAAAAACUUAAUACAAAUUAUAUAUAAAAUAGUAUUAUAUAAAAAUGUUAUUGACUUUUAAAGCACAAAAGUAUAUAUAAACAUAAAUAUUUAAAAAAAGUAUCAUAAAAAUAAAAUUAUUAAAAAUAUAUAGAUAAUAUUAGAUUAACAUAAAAUAUAUACUAAUAUAUUAGAUAAGAAAAAGAAGCAAAAUCAGUAUUUAAUAAAGUAAUUUACGUAUAUAAAAAAGUAAAUAUACGAACUAAUGUAAUAGUAAUACCAAUAAUAACAAAAGUAAUAGUAAUGAACUAAACAAUUUUAGCAAUAAUAACAAAAAAGAGGACAAAAUUGGCAUUAAAGCAGUAAUUCGGGAGAGAAAUCUAAAAUAAAUAAAAGGAAAGGUCCAAAUUACAAAGCGCGAAUGACAUGGGGGAUUGAAAGGGGAAUAUUCCCCAUCGUCCAAAUCGCAGCGUUUCAUGCGGACUCAAUUAAAACAAAAUAAUAAAAUGUGGGGCAAAAUUUAAAGGAAAUAAAAAGAUCUACUUAAACACGCUAUAAUAAUCAAGGGACCACUUGCGCAAAUCACCCAACAAGGGUCAAAACGCGUGGAUCCUUCCUCGGGUCGGGUCACCACGCGGGUCGUAGGCCUCUAAACGGCGCCGUUUUGAAACCAUUGCCUCGGCAUCAAACGACGUCGGACCACCCCCCAUGUGCCGCUUCAACGUCGGAGUCCCCAACCAUCUGGUUCCGAUCGGAAUUAACGAGGGGCUCGACAGCGGACUUAACCAGGUAUGGGCUCUUCCCCUUUUUUAUUUUGUUACUCAGAUUAUGAAAAACAAAUCCAAAGAAAAAAGAAAAAUAAUAAAGAAGAGGAAAAAGGAAGAUCGGAAUCUGAAAUCACCUCCAAAGUAUGCUAUAUUUGCUAUUUUUUUGAAAGUUUUUUUCUGUAUCCUUGUAUUGAUGUUGUGUCUAGUUACAAAUUCUGGAAAAUGGCUUUAUAGCCGAAGAUAAAACGAAAUAAAAAAUACCACCAAAAUAUAUUUCGCUCUUUUCUAUUUGCUGUUGUUUUAUGUUCGUUUUUUGCUUGUUUGCUUGUGUGCAGGUACGGCCGUAUGGAGCAGGGGGCGUGGAGGCGUGCGUGGCAGCGGCGCUGGAGGCCCGUUGUUGCUGCUAGGGUUUCUGUCAUGUUGGGCUGCGUUGGGCCGUGAUAGUGUCUGGGCUAGAUGUAGUUGGGCUAGGUUGGGCUUGGGGUAGUGUCUGGGCUGUUUUAUUUGUAAAUAGACUUUUAAUAUUUUUUGUUUUUUAUUUUUAUUUAUAAAAUUGGGCCGGGCAAAUUAGGUAUUACAUCAUUAAUGUUCAUUUUUAUCAUCCAUGUUCCAACUAAAAGAUACAUAAAAAUUUAUUUAAUGCUUACGUUCUUCUACUUUAGUGAGUACUCAUUUUUGCAUCCCCUUGUUAUUACAAACUUACCCAUUGAAAGCUCUUAUUGUUUAAUACCUAAGAAGUUUUAUCUUUUAAGUUAUUGGGUUUAACAAUUUUUGGAUUUUGAAUUUUUAAUAUAAAUUUUUAGAUUCUGAAUAAGGACUCGAUAGGUUUUAAAAUUUUAAAAAAUAAUAUUCUAAAUUUAUGGGAAGAAAUAAAAGAUAAAAGUAAAAUUUUAAUUAAAAUAAAACACCAAAGCUAUCAACAGGUGGAGAAGCAACAAUAGGGGCUCCUUGUCUUCAUCUUUUUCUUUGUCACCAUAGAGAUGCAAAAUUGAAAGAUAAUUUUGAUUACUGUAAAUGUAUUUUUCCUUUGAUUAGGUUGUAUUUCAACAUUAAUUAAACUAUGAUUUUAUUGAAAUAGGUGUUUUUAAAAAUUCACCAGAGAGCGUCUUCAAUAAUUGAUUUAGUGUCUCAUUGCAUUAAAUAAUUUUCAUCAAAUCGAGAAUUUAUUGCAAAUGGAAGUGUUUUCCAUUGUUAAAAGAGAUCUCAAUUUUUCAAAAAAAUAAAAGUACCAUGAUUCACACACACAAAAAAGAGAACUUAUUUGCAUGUAAGUUUUGACUUUAAUAAAUUUGGGUUUGAUUUUGUUUUAAUAUAAUAUUAAAUAUUUUAAAUAAUUUUAACAAUUUAUAUUUAUUAUUAACAUUUUUUAAUUUUUUUAGAAUUAUUGUUAAGAAAAAAUUUAAAAAUAAAAACAAUAUUUUAACUAUAGUUUAGGGACCAAAUUAAUAAUUAAACAUUUAAAUUAAUGUUUCAUAUCAUGAAGGUACUAAUUUACAUAUUUCAAAAGAUAUAAAAGCUAAAUUUGUUCAUUUAUCGGUAGAAAGAUUGCAUUCCUUGAUACCUUUAUCAAAGAGUGUCAAUUUUUGUUUUUUUAUUACAUUCAAUUUGAUAUUUUAAUUUAUCAUAAUUCAUUUAUUUUUUAUUUUUAUGAUAUGAUUAAUCCAUCCAAAUAGUUAAAAGUUAGAAGUGCUUAAGUGGAUUUUUCUUUAAAAAUGCACAUUCAAGUAUUUUUUUUAUGUUAGUAUAAUUAAUUAGAAGAUGAUUAAGCUGAAGUGUUUUUUAAUGAAGAUGUAAGUAGUUAAAAAUAUGUAUUUUUGAAUAAUUUUAUUAUAGAUUUUAAUUAUAUCUAUUUUAUUUUUUUUAAAGCCCCUCUUUUAACUCAUAAAUACCAACUCAUAAAUAAGAAAAUAAUCACAUUUUCCUGCAAUCACAUUUUCCUGCAAACAAUCUCUUGGCAUAAUACUCAUGCCUUACAUGGAAUUAAAAUAAAUAAAUUGAUAGAUGAAUAAAAAAUAGAAAUAAGAGACGUAAUAUAUAUUUCUUAUAAACUAAGACCACAUUGUUGAAAGAUAAAUAAAAAGCGUAAUAUAUAUUUCUUAUAAACUAAUUCCAUAUUGAAAAUAAAGAAAUUUGGAUUUUGAAUACAAACAUUAAAAUUAUUGAAUAAAUUUGAAUUUAAAUUGAUUCCAAGUUAGUAAUAUUGUUGGAACUUGGAGAAUGGCAUGCAGAUCCCUAUUCCCUAGUUAUCAUAAAAGAGCAAGUGGAUUUUGAUGUUUACUGGUACAAAUAUAAAAAGAGUUGAUUUGUUGAGUGAGCGAAUCAGAUCAUAAAAAAGAAGAUUGAAGUCAUCUCGGUUUUACAAUCUUCUUGCAUUUUUAUUGACAAAGAAACCAGAAUCUUCUAUGCUAAUAACCAUCCCUUACAAAUUACAAAGCUUAAAACAUAUGAUCUGCGAAUGCAUGCAAAGAGAAACACCAACCAAACAAAGCAUAAAACAUCUCAAACAACCCAACACCCCCCCCCAUUCUUAAAACCCUAAAUUCAAGAUGCUUGCCCUUGAGUCACCUCUUGCGCUUUAUGCUGCACAUACUGUCCGUAUUCCUUAGCCUUCUCUGUCAUAUCCCUAGCCGUACUUGCCAGCUUGUUUCUUGCGUAAUCGAGCUGAUCAGCUCCUGGUGGGUGUUUCCCUUGCACGUAAUUGUAUAUCCACGACAACGCCGUUAAUGCCGCCACUCCACACCCGCCCGAAAACAAGAACCCCGUCGUCACCAAGAAUAUGGUUAUCCCGGCCGGGACUAGAACCGGGCUGAAGAUAACCAUCAACGGCGUAGCUAUUAUCAAGGCAAUGACCGUCCCGGUCAAGGUUAACCCAGACAAGAAAAGCAGCGUUGUGCCCAACGUCGAGGCGGUCAAGAACUUAGCCACCUGGCGAGACGACGGAGCUGAGUCGUAGAGCUUUUGAGCCAUGGGUCUGUUUUGAUCGUUGAUCGGCAUGAUUAUGAUGAUGGUAAGAGAAAAGAAGAAAAAAUGGGAGAAAAGAAAAGAAGAGUGAAGAAGAUGAGAGAGAUAUGGGGGAAAGGGGUGAUAUAAGGAAGUGAGAAAGGGGGGGUACGUGGCGGAGGGUGGGGGUGACAUUGAAAUGUGUGUAGGGGGUGAGGGUAUCAAAUGUCUAGAACAGAGUGUUAAGGGUGGUGGGCGUGGUGGCGUUGUGGCGCGUGUUCGGUUUAGCUGCUUUGCAUGGUUGUGGGAUUACCAGGGGGUGACGCGUGGUUAAUAAAGGCCGCUCUGUUCUAGUAACGCUUCCUUUCCCUUCUCAAACAGCAAUAGAGCUAAGGGCGCAAAAAAUCAUGUUGAAGGUCAGUUCAUACAUUCGGAUCUUUUAUUAGCAAGAUUAGAUUUGACACAUUCCACUAAAAUCAGGCUAAUUUGACAAUUAAUAGAAGUGGAUACACCAAUCCAAGUCGGUCGAAAACUUCGAUUGCUCCCACAAUUGUUCGGUUCAUCUAACAGCUUUCCGUUGGGCUAGGUGUUCUUCGUUAUUCUCACCUUUUGUGGUCUUUUAUAUUGUUAAAUCGUUUCUUCGAAUUUCUUUGUCGCUUAUAUUUAGCUUUUAUUUACCAAAUAAACCAUAAUUCAAUUAAUAACAUUACGGCGCAUGCAUUUCAGUGAAUAAUACCUUCCGCUUUAAAAAUUAAAGAUUAGACCUGAAAAUUUAUCUUCAAACCUAAUCCAUUUUGAUUUGAAUAUAAAAUGCAAACAACUUCAAACCGGAGAAAUUGGGAGCUAGGAUAGGAUAGCUGAUGCUUUUCAAAUUCAGUUGUAACCCUUGAACAGUAGAGAGGGAAAACACUGCUUCCAAACGGUGAGUUUUAGUAUUAAGUAGUAUGCGUUUUAUAUUAAGUAGUAUGAAACCAAUUUCUUCUAUAAUUAAUAAUUCUUAAUCAUUCUUAAAAUUUGUUAAAGUUGCUUUUUAUCUUCAAUUUUUUCAGGAUUUUUUUUUUAUUUUUACUAUAAUAUGAUCUUGCAAUUUAAGACCAUCUGCAGAUAAUUUUAAUCCUAAGAAUUCUAUUUCUGUUUUUUCUAGCUCUAUUUUCUUAGGACUUAGUAUAAUUCCAUGUUUUAUGAAUUCUUGAGAAAUGAUACUUAAAUAGUUUCUAUGUAAUUCUAAUGUAUCUGAAAAUAUUAACAUACCAUCUAUAUAAACUACACAAAAUUUUUUAUAUUUAUUAAAUAUAUAGUCCGUCCAUCUUUAAAAGAUUUGUGGUGCAUUACAUAAUCCAAAUGACAUUGCUUUCCAUUGAUAAUGUCCAUUAGGUGUACUCAAAGCUGUCAAAGGCUUGAACUCUUCUGUUAGCAUGAUUUGCCAGAAUCCUAAUUUACAAUCAAAUUUACUAAAAUAUUUUGCUUGUUUAGCUUGAUUAAUUAAAACAUCAUUUCUUGGAAUAAAAUAACCAUAAAAAAUAAUAUUUUAAUUUAAUCUUUUAUAAUUAAUAACCAUUCUAGCUUUUCCUCUUUUUAUUUCGGCAUGAUUUCUAACCAUGAAGGCUGGACUAGAAUAUGGACUAUUAGUUGUUUUUAUUAAUCCUUUUUCUAAUAAUUCUUUUAAUUUGUAUAUCAAAUUCAUCUAUGUCUUGUUUAGCAUAGAUCACUGGUUUAACUCUAAUAAUUUUAUUGGGAUUUUCUAAUUUAAUUUCACAAUAUCUAGGGUUAUUUUGCCAUAAUUUUAAUGGUUUUUUACUAUAAUUAUUUUCUAAUAUUUUAAACAACCAAUGACUUGUUUCAAGUUGUUUAAUUUGUUCUUUUCUUGGUGGUGUAAAGUUUUUAUCACAAACAAAUUUAUGAUUUUCUACCAAUGGUAUUUCUACAGAAUUUUUUUCUACAGAUAACAUAAUUAAAUUUUUAUCAAUAUAAAAUGGUAAAUGUUGAUAUAUAAAACUAAUCUCCAUGCAUUGUUGGAAAGCAUAAUAUUUUAGGUAUCACAAAUCUUACAUUAUUUAUGUAGAUUGAUUUAUUUCUAGCUUUAUAUUGAAUUUUGGUUUCAUUACCAUCUAUUCCUAUGACUUUUAUUAGAUGUUUCAUAGGUUCUCAUUUUUCUAAAGGAAUGACAUUCUUUCUACAACUGCUAGUUGUAGCUCCAGUAUCUAAUAAAGCCUGUAAAGAAUAUGUUUUAUAUGUCGAUGAUAUUUUGCUUGCCGCUAAUGAUAUAGGUUUAUUGCACGAAACUAAAAGGUUUCUGUCUAAGCAUUUUGAGAUGAAAGAUCUUAGGGACGCCUAUUUUGUUUUAGGAAUUUAGAUACACCGAUACUGAUCUUGGGGUAUUCUUGGAUUGUCACAAAAAAGCUAUAUCGAUAAAGUGCUCAAAAGGUGUGGCGUGCAAACUUGUAGACUAGGUGACACCCAUGUCGCUAAAGGAGACAAAUUUAGUCUUACUCAAUGCCCUAAAAGUAACCUUGAAAUUCAGGAAAUGCAAAAGAUUCCCCAUGCAUCACCUGUUGGGAGUUUAAUGUAUGCUCAAGUAUGUACGUGUCCGAAUAUUGUGUACAUUGUUGGGAUGUUAGGCAGAUAUUUAAGCAACCUUAGUAUAGACCAUUGGAUAACAGCUAAAAGGGUUAUGAGAUAUCUUCAG